CGGCCGACAAUAGGCCCUAAUUAAAGCAUGCUGUGGGCUGACAGAGCCCAUUCUUCUUGACUGUGUCCCGUUUAAACUGGGCCUCCCUUCCUGUGCCAUCCACACCCACCUUACUUCACUAAUUUUAAGGGGAACCAUGAAGGCUUAAUACAAGACCUUGGAUGACAGGAAGCAAAUGCGACCUGUUCAACCUCUUAGGAACAAAAGUGACGUGAUUCUUUUAUUAAACAAAGGAGCAAAGGAAAUCAAGCAACUCUCCUGUGACUCAGCUGAAGAGAACAGCCUGUGCAAUGAGUAUAAAUGUUUUUGUAAGAAGAAAAUCAAACAGUUCUGGCACAACACAAGGGUGAGAAAUAAUUUUCAGAUUAACUUUAAAUUCAGAUGAACUGUUCCUUUAUUUUUCUGUUUUAGGAGCUUGGAUGCACUCACAUGUCUCAGAAGAUCUUUAAAUGAGUUUGCAGGGUGUCAUUAAUACAUCGGACUGCAUGAAUAAACCAGCAAACCCAGCAGUGGCGGGUCUGUGAUGCUUCUGGAACGGCUGGGACUAGAGCCAUGAAUCAUGUCAUCUGGUCGGGCUUAUGAAAAGAGCUCUGCGUCUGUUCUCGCCACUCAGACAGACAGAGAGACCAGAGCGGGGUGGUACUAAAUCAUACAGCUCAUCACUUCCAAUGCAUUUGCUCAGCAAGACAUAUUCUGGAUUUAUGGGGCUUUUGAGAAUGAGGAGCUUUGGGAGAGAGGCUAUGGGCAAAG
ensembl:lncRNA